AAAAAUUCCAGACCUUUUUUACAAGUGAGAAACCUCCAUGCAUUUAUAGAGUUCUAGUAGAUGCGUCUCUUGGGUCGAAACCCAAGUAUACAUUUAAUCACUUCCAUGAGUCUGUUCACUUGAGUGUUAACCAAUCAACACUUCUUUUCACCAAAUGAUGCUAUUUGUUCCUAACCAUUUUCUGUGAUCAAUCCCUUCAAAACACCUGUUGAUAUCAUAACUACUUUAAGGUAGUUAUUAGUCAUAACCGCCCGCAAUGUAUUUUGAAAUACAACACCAUAAUACCAACAGAACAGAGUGAACUAAUUUGUUCAAUUUCAAUGAUUUUUCCUUCAAUUUCAGUGUGUUCCGUCGAUUUUUCCCUCCUCUCUCCAUUCUCGAUCUUUCUCCUCUCCAUCGAACUCUUCUUCCUUCGAGAAUUUAUCAUCUUCAUCAAGUAACAGUACUGAUCCCAGGCCAACCAACACAAAUUUAAUCCUAAAUUUCGUUAUUGAGACUGAAGGAGAUUGGAGAUUUCAGCAGAUGGGAUUUGAAUCUGAACUGAGGAGUUGGAGAGUUGCAGAAGAUUUAAGAAAGGGGGUGUUGUUGGUUGUUACUUUCUUGAAGAGUAUUGAGCAGAAUAAGGAGAAGCUGGUGAUGAUUACUGUGUUAAUGAGUUUGAUUUCAGAGGUUAGGGUUUGGAAAAUCUGAGAUUGAACUGAAGAGAUGGUGAUGAAUUGGAAGAUGGGUUGUGGUUGAUUUGAUGAGAAAGAAGAUGGAUGUGCUGUAGCUAGGUUAAAAAGUUCAGAAUGGGUUUGAUGAUAAAUGGUGAUGGCAGUGAUUGAGAUGGAGAAUCGAAGAUAUGUGAUGUUAUUGUUAUUUUAAAUUCUGAAUUGUUUUUCGAUCAUUUUACUUUCAUUCUAAUUAAAUGCUAAUUACUGUUAAUUUUUACAGGUUGAUAAGCUUAAAAAGAAGUUAAGACAUGAAGUGUGCAUAGAGCUUUGUAGAGAGAUUUCACUCGACCUUUGGGAGCUUUACCUCGUUUGCCUCCUUAUCUCCCUCAAAAUGUCAGCAGCCCAACAUUCUUGAGCAGCCACCAAUGCUUUCCUAAGGGGCGAUCAUUACUCUACCCAAGAACUCUUGCGGAAGGCACAUCCAGAGUGGAUGACUGCUGAAAGUCUGAAUUUUAAGGCAGCCCAAGAAAUUUGAAGUAUAAGGAAUCACAAAAAUGAUGCAUGGAAGCUAGACCUGCAUGGUUUGCAUGCAUCUGAAGCUGUUCACGACGCCUUGAAAGAACGUCUUUGGAGGAUUGAGACUCAAUUCCCACUUACUGUGCAUCCCAAUAAAGUUGUCAAACCAAUUCAUUCCAGUAGUUACCUUAGCGUGGCCGGACAGACAGAAAAAGAGGAGGGAAUGACAUCACAGAGACCAGGGGUUUUACAAGUUAUAACAGGGGAAAUUGAGCUCGUUGUAGGUGAACUGGGAAGAAUGGAUCGAUUGCAGGUGGCUGUAGCUGCUGGCUGAGAUGCAACGAGUGGAUUUGGGUUGAAGCUGUUAACGUUUGCAGCCUUGAAUAUAGUUAGAAUCAACUCCAUGAACUAAUGAUUGCAUGCACUAGAGAGUAGUAUGCCGGUGGUCACAUGGAUCGAUUUCAGGUGGUGGUCGUUUGGGUCCAUCUGUGGCUAGAGAUGCUUAUGAGAUACCAACAAGAAGUGGACAUAUGUGCUGGCUGGAUUUUUAAGAGAUUGCAGGCAAUGUUGGUUGUUGUUUGAAUCGGCCAGUUAACAUGAAUGCAGGUGUUUCAGUCUGUAGUAACUGGUGGGUGACUUAGACGUGGAUGAACAUUGGUGAUGAAGUUCAGUUCUGCGGCCAGGGAUGGAUAUAAGAUGGUAUGGUCGGAUCUUGGGAGGAUUUGCCGGAGUUUGUGCAUCCCGUAAUGACGAGAUUUAGAAGGCUCAAGUCAAAGAAACUUUUUGCAAUCAGUGGCCAAGAAGACAGUAAGAGAUAAAAAGUGUUAUUGGAAUUGAAUUUGGUUGCAGUUGUGUUGUAGCCUGGAUGGAGAACGAAUUGGCAGCAAAAAUACUUGUGACUUAACAGCCUCCAAGAACCUCAUGUAGAUGCUAUUUCAGAUCCCAGACUAAGGCCAAAAUGUGUGAACCGAUCCAUAAGAGCAGCAAAGGCAUUUCCACUUGAUGGACUCAUACAAAGAAUGGUGGUUCCAACAAAGUCCUGCCAAUCUGGUGGCUUUUGCUGUAUAACAACAUUUAAUCAAAACCCAUCCAAAUUU